UACGUAGGUGGCAAGCGUUAUCCGGAUUUACUGGGUGUAAAGGGCGUGUAGGCGGGACUGCAAGUCAGAUGUGAAAACUAUGGGCUCAACUCAUAGCCUGCAUUGGAAACUGUAUUUCUAGAGUGUCGGAGAGGCAAGUGGAAUUCCUGGUGUAGCGGUGAAAUGCGUAGAUAUACGGAGGAACACCAGUGGCGAAGGCGGCCUGCUGGACAAUAACUGACGCUGAGGCGCGAAAGCGUGGGGAGCAA
rnacentral:rRNA from 1 species